rnacentral:tmRNA from 1 species
GGGGCCGCCUGGUUUUGACAGCGAGACCAAUUGGGAUGUAAGCAUGUCGAGCGCUGGGCUACAGCUCGUAAAUCUCAUUUUCCACACUUUUAAUUGGCGAAAAUAAUUACGCUCUUGCCGCUUAAUCCGAAUUACAGUAGGAUUUAGCCUCGUCUCUACUAGGUAGAGAAGCGAGAUGUUCCUGAAUAGCCCUUGUUGGCGGCGAUUCUUUAAGGAGCACCAGAAAUGUCAACACAAGGAUAGUAUUGCUUUGGUAUUAUCACUAAAACUUUAAGAAGCUAAGUGUAAAAUAGGCGGUUUUCAGUCGGUUUUGCAUCGAAAAACAAAUGAAAACUAAACAUGUAGAAAGCAUUGUAAUUGCUUGUUUGGACGGGAGUUCGAUUCUCCCCGGCUCCACGA